UGUCGAUGAAGAGCGCAGCCAACUGUGUGAAUUAGUGUGAACUGCAUACUGCUUUGAACAUCGACAUCUUGAACGC
rnacentral:rRNA from 1 species